rnacentral:rRNA from 1 species
UACAGAGGUGGCAAGCGUUGUUCGGAAUUACUGGGCGUAAAGGGCGCGUAGGCGGCCUUCUAAGUCAGACGUGAAAUCCCCCGGCUUAACCUGGGAACUGCGUCUGAUACUGGAGGGCUUGAGUGCGGGAGAGGGAUGUGGAAUUCCAGGUGUAGCGGUGAAAUGCGCAGAUAUCAGGAAGAACACCUAUGGCGAAGGCAGCUCUCUGGGACGGUACUGACGCUGAGACGCGAAAGCGUGGGGAGCGAACAGG